GUUUAUUUUAAGUAGUUUUGGUAAAUUUUAUUUAGUUUUUAAUUAGUUUUUGUUAUUUUGUUUAACUUUUACUUUUUAGUGUUUGUCUUUUAAUUAUUUUAGGACUUUUAAUUUUUGGUAUAUAUUUUUUGUAGAAAAGACUCCUAUUUGGGCUGGAAAGAGAUUGCAACUCUACUGGAUUUUGAGGCAUAAUUUCAUGGAUCAAAAUCUGUUCAGUAGCUCAACCAUAGGCAAGACACAGGCAUGGUCGUAUGCGAUGAGCUGUACAAAUUUUAAUUGUUGAUCUUAUUAGGUUUUUAUUUCCUAUUUGGAGGAGAGUAUCCUAAAACCAAAAGAAGUAUAAAUAGGGCAAAUAUUUCCUAUUUUAAGGGGGGGGAAGAGGAAAAACGAGAAUCACUUUAGGGGGAGUCUAAAGAGAGAUCCACAGCCACACAAUUGAGAGCAAGAGAGAGAAGAUUUAUACAGAUUGAAACUUGAAGAUGCACCUACAAUUAGAGCUUGAUCUUUAUUAUUGUUCUUUAA
rnacentral:misc_RNA from 1 species